CUUAGCAUGCGCCUCUAGACGUAUGUAAGGAGUGUGUUUUGGAUGCUCGGGGAGACUCCCUUAAGUCCAGCACAGGGGACGAGGGACUCUCUCUCCAGCUGGGGAGAGACAAAGUAAGAUACUCUCUCCUAGCUUGGGUCCUUUGUUUGAGUCAUGUCGAAUUUCUUCCGCAAGACACAUCCGGGUUUCGGUAUUGCCAUGACGAUGCAAACUCAAAGUCGCUCGCGGUUCAAUUAACACUCUGUUAUCCAUUUCUAGUUCAUAUGCCCGCAUGAUAUAAUUCCUUUCUUCUUAAGUACACAUCCGUUUGCCACAGUGUCAUAAGGCAGGCGACACCUUGUUGUUGGAACAACACUUGGGAGUUUUUAGUGUAUUCUGGCUUCACAGUUAAACUGAAAGGCAUUACUGAAAAAUGUAAGAACCAAGCGUUACUGUGGUGUUUCUCUUCAUUUACACUUCCUUUAGCCAUUCUGCUAAGUUUAGCCCCAGUGCGUGGCCUAAUGGAUAAAGCACUGGCCUCCUAAGACAGGGAUUGUGGGUUUGAGUCCCAUCUGGGGUGAAUAGGAUGUGUUGGUAGUGGUCUCCUCAGUGUCUGGGGAGGGUGGGAAAAAACAACAACAAGCCAAAAAGGUUAUGGAGUGGAUGUGUUGAUAUGGGUGUGGUUGGUAUGAGGAUCAGCACCUUCAAGUUCGAAUCCAUGCUUCUCUCAUGGAAAAAGGUUGUGUUGCCCCCUUCAUUCAGGUGAGGGGAGAAAAUUUGCUCCAGGUGGAGGAGUUUAAGCAUCUUGGAGUCUUAUUCACAAGUGAGGUGGGAGCGGUUGCUGUACUGGACUGUGGUGGUGAACGGGGGAGGUGAGCCGUAAGGCAAAGCUCUCUAUUUGCCGGUCUUCUACGUCCCUCCAAACAGUUUGUCCCUGUUUUAGAAGUCUGCCGGGGCGCAUUCUAAAGGUUAAAAUUUCUUUGUGUUUUGUUUUCCUUAUCAAUGUUUCUCCAUUGCGUUAAACGGACAGCAUAUAUUUUCUGAACGUCUUAACUCUUACAUCACUUUAGAACAUAUUAAGCACUUGAAAAUAUUGACUACUUGAACAUAUUUUCACACCACACUUGAACGAACAAUUUCUCACACCACAUUUCCGCCUUUGAGCAUGAAACGUUCACACGACAUGCUUGCAUAUGGUCCCCCUCGUUGUCAUCUUGUAACAGGAGAUUAUUCCGGUACCACGCUGCUAUGGUGUUUACAGGUGAGUCGAUGCCUUCAACCUUAAAUGCCCAAAUCUUUCCAUUCUGAGUUUCCUGUCUUCCCCAGUGAUAUAUGCGGAACUCAAUCCCAUUUGUACCACCUACUUUGGGCCGGGAUCAGAACGAAAGAGGCUGCAGCGGGGCACUUUGUCAGGAACAAAUCCGACAUAAUGAUUCUCUCUUCCUCAAGUUUGUUUGCCGGAAACUCAUGCGACUCUUGUCGAUACUCUACGGUUUCUUUGGCAAAGAAGCGUGCUGUGCAGUGCAACCGUGUGGGCUGUGUCAAGUUGGGAGGCACCUUUACCUCACCGCAGCGCGUCAUCAUCCAGCAGCCAAGCGGUGUACUGCGAUAACACCUGCAGAGACAACAGUCCCAAUACUGGAGAUGCGAUGUUGCCACCUUCUUCGGUCACAGUGACAGUUGCCCCGAGCUUCGCAAGCAGGUCGCGGCCCAGCAGCUUCACCGGACAGCGGUUACUAAGGAGAAACGAACGGAACCCCGGCAUCUCCUGUCUUCUAAUAGUGGAUCUCGUCGCCCCUGUGUCCACCAGGAAGGGAAACACACUAAAAAAAGUGGUUAAUGUCAUCUUGAUUGCCUUAACUGUUUGCCUUUUAAAGCCCACGGGAGACACUUGGUAGCGUCGCGGUCAGUGCUGCUGCCUCUUGACCUGAAGUUGGAAAGCCAAACGAGAUGAGACUGUAGCCAAUUUCAAGAAAACAGAGAAUCUUGUACCAGAGGCUCUUCUAAGGCAAGCAUUCAACAUUAUCCCAGUAACAGCAGAAACUAAGUUGCAGAAAUACAGUGUGGGCAGACUGUCACAGCUCUAGACAGAAGAGAAGUCGGGCUUUACCGGAAUGAUCCGCAAGCCUCUGACAAUUGAUUUGAGUGUCUCCAUUGUUCAGGAGAGCUUUCGUCAAGAUGAGCACAUCACCAGAGGCCAUGCAGGUAGGUGUCUUUCAUUGCUCCAUUGCCAGUCUCUGGAGUCUUUUUUUCUGACCCCACCCAUAGUGUUAUGGAUUUCGGUCAACAUACCACUGGAGUGGUCAUGUUGUUCUCCUUUAAGAUUUAGGAAUUAGACCCUUCUGUCCAAAUGCCUUUGCCAUACAAGACUGCAAAACUACAUUUUUCUUGUUCUCUCUGAUUAGCAGAAGGCUGUGAAUCUUGCAGUGCAACAUCUGGAAGAACAGAUGAACUCGUUUCUUCUGCGUGCAGAAUGUUGCGUAAGGGUUUCUUAAAGAAGUGGGCCGUCCGCAUUGUUGACACAGAAGUCUCACAGAGGGACCUGGUUCACGAGCCAGCAUUAUUAGCACUCAAUCAUAGAACCACGUUGAAGUUUUGGAAGAUUAACUUGACAGUUCCUGUCUUUAAUUGCUACAGAGUUUAGAAAGGUCUUCUGAUUGUUCUUUCCCAACUUGCAGGCCAAGUUCUGGGACAGAACAAAUGAACCCCUCCAGUUGAGGUGUACACCAUCACGCGUGAAAAACCUGGGCCAUUCCCAGAAAUCAUCCUAGUUAUUAACAAAUGAUAUACGAUCGGAGCGGCACCACGUCUCUAACCACCUGUUAAAAGACACCAAUCUACUGUACACCAUGUCCCCCAUGAAGAGUCUAGGUAAAGGACCAGACACUAUUAGAUUACGACAUUUCCUUUUGGCCUUGUUACACAUAGAAAUAAAUCGGCUCUUUAACACCUCAGACUGCUGAUAACGAAUAUCAUUACCACCAACAUGCACCAUCAUAGUCGACACGGCAUUAUCGGCCAGAGAACUGACGCGAGCCUUCAUGUCGGACUCACGUGCGCGUGAGAAAAACUUUACCUUUACAUUUACAUUUCGAUUCCCAGGCCCCCGGACCUUAACAUAAAUGGCUAUGAGUUUUACCUCACUUUGUUUUUUUGGCUGUGGAGAAUAACUUUCUCUGUAGAUCUGUUUGAUCGUACUGUCUAAGAAACAGGAAGGUGCAGGGUUUUUGGUGGCUUAUCUGCCAUCCCCGCAGGGUGAUGCAGAGAUUUUGUUUCAAAUUGUUUUAUACCAGAUAGUCCAGAAUAGGCUUUUCCUUGAAGACGUCGGCAGCCCCUGGGGAGGGCGAGAGACCAUCACUGGCAGUGAGGAUGAUGGCUGGAAGGAUACAGGCUUUGAAGAAUACGCGCGCAUUUCUUUUGUUUGUGAGAUCGUCUUCAGACUCUGGGACUUCCAGCAGAGGACAUUGUCAUUGUCCUUUUUCGAUGUCACGCUGGCGACCGAUGAAUGUUAUCAGAGGGUGUUGGAGACUAUAGGGUGAGUGCAAAGCAUUCCAAGCUGCUCCCCUACUCCAUGGAGCCACUCUGAAGGACAGAUAGAAGAGUU